rnacentral:rRNA from 1 species
AAUAGAUACCCCGGUAGUCCUAGCCGUAAACGAUGGGCACUGGGUAGGGGGGACGCCUAUGCUCUUCCCUGCCGAAGCAAAUGUAUUAAGUGCCCCGCCUGGGGAGUACGCUCGCAAGGGUAAAACUCAAAGGAAUUGACGGGGGCUCACACAAGCGGUGGAGCAUGUGGUUCAAUUCGAAGCAACGCGAAGAACCUUACCUGGGCUUGACAUCCAUGGAUUAUGCCCCUGAAAGGGGAGUACUGCUCUUCGGAGCCGGAACAUGGACAGGUGUUGCAUGGCUGUCGUCAGCUCGUGUCGUGAGAUGUUGGGUUAAGUCCCGUAACGAGCGCAACCCUUGUCGCUAGUUGCCAGCGGGUAAUGCCGGGGACUCUAGCGAGACUGCCGGUGUCAAACCGGAGGAAGUGGGGACAACGUCAAGUCAUCAUGGCCCUUAUGCCCAGGGCGACACACGUGCUACAAUGGCGUGUACAAAGGGUUCCGAUACCGUGAGGUGGAGGCAAUCCCAAAAGCACGCCCAGUUCGGAUUGAAGGCUGCUAAC